rnacentral:rRNA from 1 species
GUCUACAGCCAUGCCACCCUGAACGAGUCCGAUGUCUAAUCUCAGAAGCUAAGCAGGGUCAGGCCUGGUUAGUACUUGAAUGGAAGACCACCUAGGAAGACCAGGUGCUAUAGGCA